rnacentral:rRNA from 1 species
CGUGUAGCAAUACAUGGCGACGACCGGCGAGCGGGUGCGUAACACGUAUGGAACCUGCCCUUUACACGGGGAUAGCCCUCGGAAACGAGGAUUAAUACCCGAUAGGUUAUGCUAAGGCAUCUUGGCAUAAUGAAAGCUGAGGCGGUAAAGGAUGGCCAUGCGUCCGAUUAGUUAGUUGGUGAGGUAAUGGCUCACCAAGACGAUGAUCGGUAGGGGAUGUGAGAGCAUGAUCCCCUACACGGGUACUGAGACACGGACCCGACUCCUACGGGAGGCAGCAGUAAGGAAUAUUGGACAAUGCCCGGAAGGGUGAUCCAGCCAUGCCGCGUGCAGGAAGAAGGCCCUAUGGGUUGUAAACUGCUUUUGCAGUGGAGAAAACCCUCUGACGCGAUUGGAGGUUGCUAGUACACUGUGAAUAAGCACCGGCUAACUACGUGCCAGCAGCCGCGGUAAGACGUAGGAUGCGAGCGUUGUCCGGAAUUAUUGGGCGUAAAGAGAACGUAGGCGGCUCAUUAAGUCUGGGGUUAAAGACCGAGGCUCAACCUCGGGGGUGCCCUGCAGACUGGUGGGCUGGAGGACGGCAGAGGAACGUGGAAUUCCCAGUGUAGCGGUGAAAUGCGUAGAGAUUGGGAGGAACACCGGUGGCGAAAGCGGCCUUCUGGGCCGUUCCUGACGCUGAGGUUCGAAAGCCAGGGGAGCAAACGGGAUUAGAUACCCCGGUAGUCCUGGCCGUAAACGAUGGAUACUAGGUGUAGACGGUAUCGACCCCGUCUGUGCCGUAGCUAACGCGUUAAGUAUCCAGCCUGGGGAGUACGGUCGCGAGGCUGAAACUCAAAGGAAUUGACGGGGGCCCGCACAAGCGGUGGAGCAUGUGGUUUAAUUCGAUGCAACGCGAAGAACCUUACCAAGGCUUGACAUCCCUGGAAUCCCCUGGAAACAGGGGGGUGCCUUCGGGAGCCAGGAGACAGGUGGUGCAUGGCUGUCGUCAGCUCGUGUCGUGAGAUGUUGGGUUAAGUCCCGCAACGAGCGCAACCCUUGUCGUUAGUUGCUACCGGGUGAAGCCGGGCACCCUAGCGAGACUGCCGGUGACAAACCGGAGGAAGGUGGGGAUGACGUCAAGUCACCAUGCCCCUUAUGCCUUGGGCUACACACGUGCUACAAUGGUCGGGACAGAGGGCUGCGAACCCGCGAGGGGGAGCGAAUCCCACAAACCCGGCCCCAGUUCAGAUUGCAGGCUGCAACUCGCCCGCAUGAAGUCGGAAUCGCUAGUAACCGCAGAUCAGCACGCUGUGGUGAAUACGUUCCCGGGCCUUGUACACACCGCCCGUCACACCACGAAAGUUUGUCACGCCCGAAGCCGGUGGGCCAACCC